UCUCUCUUUUUCCUUUAGCCAACCUACCCAAAAUACAACACCAUAAAACUUCUUCAAGAGAAGAAAAUGAAACAGAAAGGGAAGUGAGGAGAGGGAUCCACGGAGAAGAAAGGGAGAGGGGAAGGAGGAGCAUCACUGCCGUGCCAUCGUGCCUCGCCAUCGAGCUCAUCCCGCCGCUGCCCAACCGCGUCCAGCCCACCGCCAGUUGCUGCUGUCAUCGCCAUCCAUGGAGGAGAUAGAAAUAGGCGAACAUGAGGAGAGAGGGAGGGAGCUCGCGAGGGAGCUCCCACCGUCUAAGCUGGGUCUGUCGUCACCGUUAGAGCCCGCAUCACCGUCGAACCUGCUGCUGUCGCCGAGAGGGAGCCCAUCGCCGCCAGCAUCGUCGGGUCUCUGCCGCCAAACCGUCCUUGCCACCACCACUGGAAGCACGAACAGAGAAGAGUCAUUACCGUCGGAAGCCGCCGACAGGAUCGCGAAUGGAGGGAGAAGAAGCUGUUUCCAUUACAGCUGUUGCCGGUGGAAAAUCCAGCCGUGCCUCUGUCGCUUGGAGACACCGCUGCUGCCUUGAGACCCACCGUCGUCAUCGUCACCGGGGUUUUGCUCGCGACUGUCACUUGGAGUUAUUGUCGGAGCUACUGCCAGGCCGAUUCGGAGUCGCAGCUGCUUUGUUUUGUUAUUUGAGUUCGAGUUUUGUAUGUUGCAUGUCACUUUUAAGUUGCAGAGAGUGCUGCGAAAGUGAUCAGAGGCUGAGUUUGUGGUUGUCGUUGGUUCCGGGCUGAGGGAAAAGAGUUUGGUUGAUGCAUUUGGGUUAUGUUUUCGACGAGUCGAGCAAUUUCUGUAAUCCUAUGGUGAGAACAAGCGAGGAUGACGUUCUCAUUUCCCUACAAGUUAUUCCUUUUCAAGAUAUGGAUGACAAAAUUUCAGAAGAGUUAUGUUUAUUUUCUGUUUAUUCGGUAUUUUUGUAUUAUCUUAGCUAUUAUGUUUUCCUCUCCUUAUCUUUAUAAAGUUUGUAAGAGGGAUAGGAAAUUAUAUGAUGUAUGUUUGUAAGCUAGUGUUAUGUGUGUGUGUGUGUGUAUAUAUAUAUAUAUAUAUAUAUAUCUUAAGGUAUUGUAUCUGGUUGUUUGUACAUGUAUAUUUAUGUUUUCAUUGAAAAAGUGUUUUUGAAAGGUUAUGCAGUUUUAAGUUUUAAACCGGCUCAUAUUUUAAUGUUAAAUAUGUAUAGAGUUGUCGUAAUGCCCAAGCUAUCAAAGUGGCGCAGCCAGAAGCGUGACAUUCGGAUAGUGAGUGUGUUACAUGUUGAGGCAAAGGAAAGAUAAGCUAGUUCAUGUAAUUUACUAUGCUAGCAAGGUCCUUAAUGAGGCACAAAGGACACUACAAGAAAUUAUUAGAAUAGCGACCAAUUUAGUGACCAAUUUAGCGACCGAUUCUGGUGAUCUCUAAAACCUUAGUCGCUAAUAAGAAAAUAGCGACCAACUUCGGUCGCUAACCAUUAGCGAUCGAUUUUUGAACAAGGCCACCAAACCUUCACCAGAGUAUUGGUCGCUAAAUCAGUCGCUAAAUGGUGACCAAAUUUCCCGUUGCUAAAUCGGUCACUGAGUAAAUCGGUCGCUAAAUGGCGACUAAUUUUUCGGUUGCUAAAUCGGUCACCAUGAAAUUGGUCGCUAAAUCGGUCGCCAAUACCUGAUUUAAAAAUCUAAAAUCGGUCACUAAUUCCUAAACUAAAAAUCUAAAUCGGUCACUAA